UACAGAGGGGGCAAGCGCUAUUCGGAAUUAUUGGGCGUAAAGGGCGCGUAGGCGGUUCUUCAAGUCUCUCGCGAAAUCCCUCGGCUUAACUGAGGACGUGCGGGAGAUACUGAAGGGCUUGAGUCCGGAAGAGGGUGGUGGAAUUCCCAGUGUAGCGGUGAAAUGCGUAGAUAUUGGGAGGAACACCGGUGGCGAAGGCGGGUCUCUGGGAAGUAACUGACGCUGAGAAGCGAAAGCAUGGGUAGCAAACAGG
rnacentral:rRNA from 1 species